AGUUGGGCUGAUCCUACAUAGCACAUCGCAGUUUAGGUUGCACGGCACUAUGUAGGACCUGUCCAAUGGUUCUAUAAUUACCGGCCACCAUCGACCUCCAUUUUACUUCACACCAAAACCUCUCCCUCCUCUCACUCGAUAGUUCUCUCAAUAGUUUGUGAGUGUUUUCCCGAUAUUUCUUCUCUAAGGGAGCUGUCUCUAUUGUAUGCCUGCUGGCGGGGGAGCCGAUCCACCUCAGUAGCCUCUUAGACUUCACCUUCUGAUCCUUUGCUUCAACAUUUCCUCAGAGGUUGUUCAUGGUGGUCCUUACAUCACUUUGGCCUCCUUCAGCACUACUCCUAGGUCCGCUUCUUCCCGCAUGUCCGCAUCGGCAAAGCUACCUUGCUGAACAUGCAGAUGUCGUGGAGAGUUCACCACGGCGGCCAGAUGCUCAUGCUAGAGACUGCUCCCGCCGGGGCGGACCAACCUAAGGAGGGAGAUGCUCCAGCAGCGCCUUCGGUUAUUUGUCAGAGGAGGGGUCCGAACUCGAGGAUGCUGACGGAGAUUGACCAGCUGUCGGCCCAGCUAUACCAUCGCCUGGACUUUGUCGACUCCAGGUUGGGCUGGAUGCAGGGGGGCUUCCUAUCUAUAUUCUGUUUCAACCGGUCUCCGAUGAUGAGGAGGACGAGGAGGAUAAGGAGGAGUGAGCUUAGGUCCUUGAUGGUUUAGUGGUUUCUUUGUGUUUCCUGCACUUGCUUUACUGUUGUUUGUUUUUUCUGGAACUGAGACUUGUAUGGAUACUGUUUAACCUUAGUUAUUUCCGCAUUUUAACAGCGGCCGAUGUAGCGCAGUUAAAUUGGCUAAUGCGAAAGACUUUAACACGCGGAAACAACCUUGCGCCUUUAAACCAGGCCUCGUUUAACAGCGGAUUUAAUCAUGGCCGCUGUUAAAUUUAAUAGGAGUUUUAACUAUCUGAUAUAGCAGUGGAUAGUUCAAAUCCGUUGUUAAAUUUGACAGCGGCCAGUUUAUAG
rnacentral:lncRNA from 1 species